GACGAACGCUGGCGGCGUGCUUAACACAUGCAAGUCGAACGGUAAGGCUCCAGCUUGCUGGGGUACACGAGUGGCGAACGGGUGAGUAACACGUGGGUGACCUGCCCUGCACUUCGGGAUAAGCCUGGGAAACUGGGUCUAAUACCGGAUAGGACCGCACCGUGAGGGUGUGGUGGAAAGUUUUUUCGGUGUGGGAUGGGCCCGCGGCCUAUCAGCUUGUUGGUGGGGUAAUGGCCUACCAAGGCGGCGACGGGUAGCCGGCCUGAGAGGGUGGACGGCCACAUUGGGACUGAGACACGGCCCAGACUCCUACGGGAGGCAGCAGUGGGGAAUAUUGCACAAUGGGCGGAAGCCUGAUGCAGCGACGCCGCGUGGGGGAUGACGGCCUUCGGGUUGUAAACUCCUUUCACCAUCGACGAAGGGUUUCUGACGGUAGAUGGAGAAGAAGCACCGGCUAACUACGUGCCAGCAGCCGCGGUAAUACGUAGGGUGCGAGCGUUGUCCGGAAUUACUGGGCGUAAAGAGCUCGUAGGUGGUUUGUCGCGUCGUCUGUGAAAUUCCGGGGCUUAACUCCGGGCGUGCAGGCGAUACGGGCAUAACUUGAGUACUGUAGGGGAGACUGGAAUUCCUGGUGUAGCGGUGAAAUGCGCAGAUAUCAGGAGGAACACCGGUGGCGAAGGCGGGUCUCUGGGCAGUAACUGACGCUGAGGAGCGAAAGCAUGGGGAGCGAACAGGAUUAGAUACCCUGGUAGUCCAUGCCGUAAACGGUGGGCGCUAGGUGUGGGUUUCCUUCCACGGGAUCCGUGCCGUAGCUAACGCAUUAAGCGCCCCGCCUGGGGAGUACGGCCGCAAGGCUAAAACUCAAAGGAAUUGACGGGGGCCCGCACAAGCGGCGGAGCAUGUGGAUUAAUUCGAUGCAACGCGAAGAACCUUACCUGGGCUUGACAUAUACAGGAUCGCGCCAGAGAUGGUGUUUCCCUUGUGGCUUGUAUACAGGUGGUGCAUGGUUGUCGUUAGCUCGUGUCGUGAGAUGUUGGGUUAAGUCCCGCAACGAGCGCAACCCUUGUCUUAUGUUGCCAGCACGUUGUGGUGGGGACUCGUAAGAAACUGCCGGGGUUAACUCGGAGGAAGGUGGGGAUGACGUCAAAUCAUCAUGCCCCUUAUGUCCAGGGCUUCACACAUGCUACAAUGGUCGGUACAGUGGGUUGCCAGUCCGUGAGGGCGAGCUAAUCCCGCAAAGCCGGUCUCAGUUCGGAUCGGGGUCUGCAACUCGACCCCGUGAAGUCGGAGUCGCUAGUAAUCGCAGAUCAGCAACGCUGCGGUGAAUACGUUCCCGGGCCU
rnacentral:rRNA from 1 species